AUUGAACGCUGGCGGCAGGCCUAACACAUGCAAGUCGAGCGGUAGAGAGGUGCUUGCAUCUCUUGAGAGCGGCGGACGGGUGAGUAAUGCCUAGGAAUCUGCCUGGUGGUGGGGGAUAACGUUCGGAAACGGACGCUAAUACCGCAUACGUCCUACGGGAGAAAGCGGGGGGAUCUUCGGACCUCGCGCCAUUAGAUGAGCCUAGGUCGGAUUAGCUAGUUGGUGAGGUAAUGGCUCACCAAGGCGACGAUCCGUAACUGGUCUGAGAGGAUGAUCAGUCACACUGGAACUGAGACACGGUCCAGACUCCUACGGGAGGCAGCAGUGGGGAAUAUUGGACAAUGGGCGAAAGCCUGAUCCAGCCAUGCCGCGUGUGUGAAGAAGGUCUUCGGAUUGUAAAGCACUUUAAGUUGGGAGGAAGGGUAGUAACCUAAUACGUUGCUACUUUGACGUUACCGACAGAAUAAGCACCGG
rnacentral:rRNA from 1 species